CAGCCGCCGCGGGAAUACGAGGGGGGCAAGCGUUGUUCGGAAUUAUUGGGCGUAAAGGGCGCGUAGGCGGUUUGGCAAGUUUGGUGUGAAAUCUUCGGGCUCAACUCGAAGUCUGCACCGAAAACUGCCGGGCUUGAGUAUGGGAGAGGUGAGUGGAAUUUCCGGUGUAGCGGUGAAAUGCGUAGAUAUCGGAAGGAACACCUGUGGCGAAAGCGGCUCACUGGACCAUUACUGACGCUGAGGCGCGAAAGCUAGGGGAGCAAACAGGAUUAGAUACCCGGGUAGUCCCUGUCUCUUAUAC
rnacentral:rRNA from 1 species